CCUACGGGAGGCAGCAGUGGGGAAUAUUGCACAAUGGGGGAAACCCUGAUGCAGCGACGCCGCGUGAGUGAAGACGUAUCUCGGUAUGUUAAGCUCUAUCAGCAGGGAAGAAAAUGACGGUACCUGACUAAGAAGCCCCGGCUAACUACGUGCCAGCAGCCGCGGUAAUACGGAGGGGGCAAGCGUUAUCCGGAUUUACUGGGUGUAAAGGGAGCGUAGAGGGGGUUGCAAGUCCGGAGGGAAAGCCCAUGGCUUAACCAUGGUACUGCUCUUGAAACUGUGGAGCUUGAGUGCGGGAGAGGCAGGCGGAAUUCGUGGUGUAGCGGUGAAAUGCGUAGAUAUUAGGAAGAACACCGACGGCGAAGGCAGCCUGCUGGACCGUAACUGACGUUGAGGCUCGAAAGCGUGGGGAGCAAACAGGAUUAGAUACCCGGGUAGUC
rnacentral:rRNA from 1 species